rnacentral:misc_RNA from 1 species
UCCGGCUUGACGCCGGCAGUCUCGCCAGAGUACUCGCCAUGACGCGUGAGCAACUGACGACAGGGGUUGCGCUCGUUAGAGGACUUAACCCGACACUUCACAGCACGAGCUGACGACAGCCAUGCAGCACCUGUGCUUGUUCCACCCUUGCGGGCGUGGCUCCUGUUUCCAGGAGUUAAUCCAAGCAUGUCAAACCCAGGUAAGGUUCUUCGCGUUGCCUCGAAUUAAGCAACAUGCUCCACCGCUUGUGUGAGCCCCCGUCAAUUCCUUUGAGUUUUAGCCUUGCGACCGUACUCCCCAGGCGGUACGCUUAUCGUUUUUACUACGACCGAUCCCGCGUGAGAGCGGCACCGAUCUAGCGUACAUCGUUUACGGCGUGGACUAC